rnacentral:rRNA from 1 species
GAUGAACGCUAGCGGCAGGCCUAAUACAUGCAAGUCGAACGGGAUUGCGGUCGUUGCUUGCUACUUCUGGGGGACUCUAGCGCACGAGUGCGUAAUGCGUGAGCAACGUACCCAUACCAGGUGGAUAGUCAGCCGAGAGACGGAGUAACACCUCAUAACAUCAACACAUCGCAUGUUCAGUUGAUGAAAUAUUUAUAGGAUAUGGAGGGGCUCGCGUGACAUUAGCUCGGUUGUAGGGUGACUGCUUAACAAGGCAACGAUGUCGAGGGGAUCUGAGGGGAGAGUCCCCCAAACUGGUACUGGGGCACGGACCAGAAUCCUACGGGAGGCAGGCGUAAGGAAGAAUGGUCAAUGGGCGCAAGGCUGAACCAGCCAAGCCGCGGGCAGGAGGACUGGCCUAUGGGUUGUAAACUGCUUUUAUCAGGGAAGAAGCCCCUUUACGAGUAGAGUGUUGAAUGUACCUGAAGAAUAAGGAUCGGCUAACUCCGUG